GAGUGUUGGUUUUCUUUUUAGACAGAUCUAAGAAUGACAUUAUAUGGUGAAUUUGGUCUACAUCUAUUGCUUAAUUAUCGCCUGUUGCUAUGCUGGAAUGGAGCUGAUGAAGAUGGAUGUCUCGGAUGAGUGCCAUGCACUUUACCUUUGAGCUUGGGCUGCACAAACCGUGUAAAGCCGAAGACAUCAGUCAAUAUGUUUCCAACUGUGGGGGGCCAUGAUGAGAAGAUAUUCCUAAAACGUGACGGAUGAACGCAAAAGAAAAUAUGUGAUUCUGCGACGAGCUUGCAGAGGAGUAUUUACAUUAACUAAUAAAAUAAUCGAAAAGAUCCAUUGUUUGGAGCAUAUUUGAG
ensembl:lncRNA